rnacentral:rRNA from 1 species
UACGUAGGUGGCAAGCGUUGUCCGGAUUUACUGGACGUAAAGAGCGCGCAGGCGGUCAGAUAAGUCGAAUGUGAAAGCCCCCGGCUCAACUGGGGAGGGUCAUUCGAUACUGUUCGACUCGAAGGCAGGAGAGGGAAGCGGAAUUCCCAGUGUAGAGGUGAAAUUCGUAGAUAUUGGGAAGAACACCAGUGGCGAAGGCGGCUCACUGGCCCGUAACUGACGCUGAGGUGCGAAAGCGUGGGGAGCAAACAGG